rnacentral:rRNA from 1 species
CGGACGGGUGAGUAACGCGUGAGAAUCUGCCCUCAGGAGGGGGAUAACGGCUGGAAACGGCCGCUAAUACCCCAUAUGCCGAGAGGUGAAAUGAAUUUCGCCUGAGGAUGAGCUCGCGUCUGAUUAGCUAGUUGGUAGGGUAAAGGCCUACCAAGGCUUCGAUCAGUAGCUGGUCUGAGAGGAUGAUCAGCCACACUGGGACUGAGACACGGCCCAGACUCCUACGGGAGGCAGCAGUGGGGAAUUUUCCGCAAUGGGCGAAGGCCUGACGGAGCAACGCCGCGUGAGGGAUGAAGGCCUCUGGGCUGUAAACCUCUUUUAUCAAGGAAGAAGAUCUGACGGUACUUGAUGAAUAAGCCACGGCUAAUUCCGUGCCAGCAGCCGCGGUAAUACGGGAGUGGCAAGCGUUAUCCGGAAUUAUUGGGCGUAAAGCGUCCGCAGGCGGUCUUACAAGUCUGUCGUUAAAGCGUGGAGCUUAACUCCAUUUCAGCGAUGGAAACUGUAAGACUAGAGUGUGGUAGGGGCAGAGGGAAUUCCCGGUGUAGCGGUGAAAUGCGUAGACAUCGGGAAGAACACCAGUGGCGAAGGCGCUCUGCUGGGCCAUAACUGACGCUCAUGGACGAAAGCCAGGGGAGCGAAAGGGAUUAGAUACCCCUGUAGUC